GGCGGACGGGUGAGUAAUGCCUGGGAAUCUGCCCAUUUGUGGGGGAUAACAGUUGGAAACGACUGCUAAUACCGCAUACGCCCUACGGGGGAAAGCAGGGGACCUUCGGGCCUUGCGCUGAUGGAUAAGCCCAGGUGGGAUUAGCUAGUAGGUGAGGUAAAGGCUCACCUAGGCGACGAUCCCUAGCUGGUCUGAGAGGAUGAUCAGCCACACUGGGACUGAGACACGGCCCAGACUCCUACGGGAGGCAGCAGUGGGGAAUAUUGCACAAUGGGGGAAACCCUGAUGCAGCCAUGCCGCGUGUGUGAAGAAGGCCUUCGGGUUGUAAAGCACUUUCAGCGAGGAGGAAAGGGUGUAAGUUAAUACCUUACAUCUGUGACGUUACUCGCAGAAGAAGCACCGGCUAACUCCGUGCCAGCAGCCGCGGUAAUACGGAGGGUGCGAGCGUUAAUCGGAAUUACUGGGCGUAAAGCGUGC
rnacentral:rRNA from 1 species